rnacentral:lncRNA from 1 species
CAAAAGAUCAUUGGUGAUUGAUCAAAGCUUCAAACGACUCUAUUUUGAUGUGUUGGCAAUGUGACAACGUCUCUUUUCUACACCUCUAUAUAAAGGAGUGAAGACUUAGAGAAUGGUAUGACAAAACAAUAAUUUAAAAGCGCCUAAACUCUGUCAAAAUUGUUCUGCAUCAAAAGUUCACUUAGAAUUUCUUAUCAAAGUUCAUAUCUUAGAAAUUCUAGAGUCUUAAGAGUCUGUAUCUGAUUUGUAUUGUGAACACCACUGAUU